rnacentral:rRNA from 1 species
UACGUAGGGUGCAAGCGUUGUCCGGAAUUAUUGGGCGUAAAGAGCUCGUAGGCGGUUUGUCGCGUCUGCUGUGAAAACCCGAGGCUCAACCUCGGGCCUGCAGUGGGUACGGGCAGACUAGAGUGCGGUAGGGGAGAUUGGAAUUCCUGGUGUAGCGGUGGAAUGCGCAGAUAUCAGGAGGAACACCAAUGGCGAAGGCAGAUCUCUGGGCCGUAACUGACGCUGAGGUGCGAAAGCUAGGGUAGCAAACGGG